UCUCCUCCAAGAUGGAGAGCGGCUGCAGUGGGGGGGUUUCGGUGCCUGCGCUUUGGAGUGAAGUGAACCGUUAUGGCCAGAACGGUGACUUCACGCGCGCUCUCAAAACCGUCAACAAGAUACUGCAGAUCAACAAAGAUGACGUUACUGCCCUGCACUGUAAAGUGGUUUGCCUUAUCCAGAACGGAAGUUUCAAGGAAGCCUUGAAUGUCAUCAACACUCACACCAGAGUGUUUGCCAAUAACUCUCUUUCCUUUGAGAAGGCAUACUGUGAGUACAGGCUGAACAGAAUUGAGAAUGCCUUGAAGACAAUAGAAGGCGCCAACCAGCAGACAGACAAACUAAAGGAGCUUUAUGGACAAGUGUUAUACCGGUUAGAACGCUAUGAUGAAUGCCUGGCUGUAUAUAGAGAUCUUGUCCGAAACUCCCAAGAUGAUUAUGAUGAGGAGAGAAAAACAAAUCUUUCAGCCGUUGUUGUAGCUCAAAGUAACUGGGAAAAAGUGGUUCCAGAGAACUUGGGUCUGCAAGAAGGCACGCACGAGCUGUGCUACAAUACUGCGUGUGCUCUCAUAGGACAAGGCCAGCUGAGCCAGGCAAUGAGAAUUCUGCAAAACGCUGAAGAUCUCUGCCGCCGUUCAUUUUCAGAAGACUCUGAUGGGAUUGAAGAAGACCCCCAGGCAGAACUGGCCAUCAUUCAUGGGCAGAUGGCCUAUAUUCUGCAGCUUCAGGGUCGUACAGAGGAGGCUUUGCAAGUUUACAACCAGAUAAUAAAAUUAAAACCAACAGAUGUGGCAUUGCUAGCCGUGAUUGCAAAUAACAUCAUUACAAUUAACAAGGACCAAAAUGUCUUUGACUCCAAGAAGAAGGUGAAGUUAACCAAUGCAGAAGGAGUGGAGUUUAAGCUUUCUAAGAAACAACUGCAAGCUAUAGAAUUUAACAAAGCUUUACUUGCUAUGUACACAAAUCAGGCAGAACAGUGUCGCAAAAUAUCUGCCAGCUUACAGUCACAGAGUCCUGAGCGUCUCCUUCCUGUGCUAAUCCAAGCUGCCCAGCUCUGCCGUGAGAAGCAGCACACGAAAGCAAUAGAGCUGCUGCAGGACUAUUCAGAUCAGCAUCCAGAAAAUGCUGCUGAAAUUAAGCUGACGAUGGCACAGCUGAAAAUUUCCCAAGGUAAUAUUUCCAAAGCAUGUUUGAUAUUGAGAAGCAUAGAGGAAUUAAAGCAUAAACCAGGCAUGGUGUCUGCAUUAGUGACAAUGUACAGCCAUGAGGAGGAUACUGACGGUGCCAUCGAAGUCUUUACACAGGCCAUCCAGUGGUAUCAAAGCCAUUAGCCCAAAUCUACUGCUCAUUUGUCCUUGAUAAGGGAAGCUGCAAACUUCAAACUCAAAUAUGGGCGGAAGAAGGAGGCAAUUAGUGACCUAGAACAGCUAUGGAAACAAAAUCCCAAAGAUAUUCACACCCUGGCGCAGCUUAUUUCUGCUUACUCACUUGUAGAUCCUGAGAAGGCAAAAGCUCUUAGUAAACACUUGCCCUCAUCGGAUAGUAUGUCUCUAAAAGUAGAUGUUGAGGCUCUUGAAAAUUCUCCUGGUGCUACGUAUGUUCGGAAGAAGGGUGGAAAAGUUGCUGGAGACAGUCAACCAAAGGAGCAAGGACAGGGAGAUUUGAAAAAAAAAGAAGAAAAAAAAGAAGGGAAAACUGCCUAAGAAUUAUGACCCAAAAGUGACCCCAGAUCCAGAAAGAUGGUUACCAAUGCGUGAACAUUUCUACUACCGAGGAAGGAAGAAGGGUAAAAAGAAGGAUCAGAUUGGAAAAGGGACCCAGGGAGCAACUGCAGGAGGUUCCUCUGAACUGGAUGCCAGUAAAACUGUGAGCAGCCCACCCACCUCGCCAAGACCUGGCAGUGGAGCCACAGCGUCCACAUCUACAAGUAACAUCAUACUCCCAAGACACCAGAAACCCGCUGGGGCUCCAGCAACAAAAAAGAAACAGCAACAGAAAAAGAAGAAAGGUGGAAAAGGUGGCUGGUGA